rnacentral:rRNA from 1 species
UGACGGUACCUGACUAAGAAGCCCCGGCUAACUACGUGCCAGCAGCCGCGGUAAUACGUAGGGGGCAAGCGUUAUCCGGAUUUACUGGGUGUAAAGGGAGCGUAGACGGCAAGACAAGUCUGAAGUGAAAGGCAUGGGCUCAACCUGUGGACUGCUUUGGAAACUGCCUUGCUUGAGUGCCGGAGGGGUAAGCGGAAUUCCUAGUGUAGCGGUGAAAUGCGUAGAUAUUAGGAGGAACACCAGUGGCGAAGGCGGCUUGCUGGACGACAACUGACGCUGAGGCGCGAAAGCGUGGGGAGCAAACAGGAUUAGAUACCCUG